rfam:Parcubacteria bacterium GW2011_GWA2_47_8 TY09_C0042, whole genome shotgun sequence.
GCAGAGGCCUGGAUUCUUCGGGCCAUUUCGCAGUAAUGCGUUACAAAAAACUGGGUGAACUCGGGGAAACCCUUCAUUGCAGGUUGCAAAGGGCAAUCCCGAGCCAAGCCGCAUACCUUGCAUGCUAUGGAAACGUGUGCGGAAGGUGUAGAGACUAUCCCGUAAGGGAGUACUGCCUCGAUUGUAUGAGGCGGGAAGCGCCCAGCUCCUACUGAUAAUUCGUCAGCAGGAUGAUGAUAUAGUCCAACCUCUAGCGAAAGCUAGAG